rnacentral:rRNA from 1 species
CAGUCGCCGCGGUAAUACAGAGGAUGCAAGCGUUAUCCGGAAUGAUUGGGCGUAAAGCGUCUGUAGGUGGCUUUUCAAGUCCGCCGUCAAAUCCCAGGGCUCAACCCUGGACGGGCGGUGGAAACUACCAAGCUGGAGUACGGUAGGGCAGAGGGAAUUUCCGGUGGAGCGGUGAAAUGCGUUGAGAUCGGAAAGAACACCAACGGCGAAAGCACUCCGCUGGGCCGACACUGACACUGAGAGACGAAAGCUAGGGGAGCAAAUGGGAUUAGAUACCCGGGUAGUCCCUGUCUCUUAUACA